rnacentral:lncRNA from 1 species
UUUUUUUUUUUUUUUUUUUUCUGAGAUAGAGGCAGAAGUGGUGUCUCGUCUCCACUCAGGAGCUUUCCUCAUGGCGAUGUCCCAAAACACAACCUGUCUCGGAAGGAGGCACUGGCUUGAGAGGAGGAGAAAGCAAAACCACCCUUCCCAGAUGGAUGUCACAGAGUCGCCAACUCACCACCUUCUGUGAAGGACUCACAGGGAGGAUGUCACAUCUGGACUCUUACCAAAGUGCCACAAAGGAACACACUUGGCUGUUUUUACUCGGAAACAUGGCUGCAGUCCUCAGCCGACACCCCCAGGGACGCUGGCUCUGCCCUUGGCACCUGGCACCUUGCCUUGGAUGCAGUGGACUACACAGCCCCCGUGCUCCAAGGGUUCAGAUGCUCCCAAGAGGACCACGCCUGGGUCCUGGACAUCACCGCCAGGGCAAAAUCCUCAGGAGGUUUGGGCUUUUGUUGACUGUGAAGCCGCAGGAGGCUGGGGCUUUUCACUGAUGGCGAUUGUGGCACCGCAAUGGUCAGCAGUAGCUCCGUUGACCCACAUCUUCCAACGGUGGCUUCUGUCUGGGGGACCCACUCCAGUCCUCUCCCCAUCAACACGAACUGAAAGGAUGUAUGAAGAGCUCUGAAUUUGCAGCCCACAAAACCUAGACAGACAGACACACAUACACACACACACACACAAACUUUCAACGAGACGUGUGUGUGUGUGUGUGUGUGUGUGUGUGUGUGUNAACUUUCAACGAGAUGUGUGUGUGUGUGUGCCCACAAAUUCAGUCCCAAGAUCUUGCUCCAAGCCCCACCCAGUUCACGGGGGGAAGCCGGCCCGCAGCACGCUGGAGGUGGCCUAUCAACUGACCUCUAACUCACUCCAGAAAGAUGAGUGAUGCCUGAAAACUAAAAUGAUCCAGGUUGAGAAGACAAGCGAUGAGGUAGGAGCUGGGUCUCCAGUCCUUGAUCCCAGGGGCCGUGCGCGCAGCUCUAGCGCCACCUCGUGGACGGAUGGGAUUCAUCCCGCAUUUCGCAUCAGCCCACCCACUCAUCCCACCACCUCCCGCCUGACUUGAGGUCCUCUCAGCUCUCCUGAGGCUCUCCCGAGCUUGGUGACCACAGGGUGUGUUCUAGAAAUACUAGUUCUAGGAAUACGUCUAACGUGGGCGAGGCGGGGCUUCUCCAGUAACUAGAGGAGCAACUGCAAACUUGUCUCGAGGGCUAUGAACUGAAAAGAUGUUUCAGAGGAAUUGAAGCACACAAACACACAGGGACACACCCACGACACACGUAGGGGCACACAGAGAUGCACACACACACACACACAUACACAGAAGCACACAUAGUCACAAACACAAGGACACACACACACCAUACUCAAAAGAAGUGUGUGCCCACAGCUUCAAUGCCAAGCUCUCUCUCCAGGCCCCGCCGGCUCGUGGGGGCAUCAAACCGGCCUCCCCUAAUCCUGCCACAUCCCAGCAAUCGCCGAUGGCCAGAGCUGCCUUAUCAAGGUCCUGCCCCUGGUUUGUUUUUGUUUUUGUUUUUGUUUUUGUUUUAAUGUCUGCUUUUCUGCCCCAGUUCGGGAUGCAGGUCUGGGCAGCCCCAGGAGAGGGAGCAGUGGGUCAAGCCCAGACUCUUCCAUGGGGGCAGAAAUGGCUGUCAGUUCACACUCACACACACACACACACACUCUCUCUCUGCCCAGCGGGCCCCCAGCAGGGCCACAGAAAAUUCAGGGAUCAGAUCACAAGGCCACCGCUACCACCCGCCCUCUGUCCGAUGUGCUGGCCCAUCAGGCUAUGGAGACCUUCCUGGUGAAUCGAGGGGCUGAAAACAGAACUGAGAGGCUCACAGCCUCUUCCCCAGAGAGAAAAAGAAAGUGAGAGAUGGUCUGUACGGUUUAUCCCGCGGGAACCUUCGCAAAGUCAGGCACAAGCAGCCAGGGUGAGAGGACUUAGAAAAGCUGAAAGGAGCAAACAAACAGCAAGUGCCAAAUGUCUGCAGUCCUGACACUGCAGGGCAGGAAAUCAGCUCCCCGGGGCAGGAAACCCCGGCUCUCAGGCCUGGCUUCUGAGCUGUGUGACCUUGGGCCGGGCUCUUAACCUCUCUGAGCCCAGCUUUCUCACCCACAAAAGGAAGGUCUCCUGAUGGAGACCCAACAAGUCAAUAAUACAUGUUUCCCUGGAUAAAAGCAGCUCUGGAGGCCAUCCUACAUGGUAAUAUAUGCAAAAGACCCAGAAUUGAAUCCGAGGGCUUUGAAAAACAGUGUGGCUCUUUAUCAAUUGUCACUUGAUACACCAAGCUUUACCCACUAAGAUAUGUCCCGAAGUCCCUGGCAGCUGGCGGCAGUGCCAAACUUCUUCUCUCUCCAGUCUCUCCCCCUAAAUCUCCUCCGAAAAUAUCAUUGUCCUUGCCAAGGUAGCCCCACCGUCCCUCACACUCACGGUUCCCAGCCCCGGCUGCCUGUUAUGUGCACCUCAAAACCUUCCUAAAGGGCCAAGCCCAGGGCCCCACUGCAGAGGAGUGAAAUCUGACUUUCUGGAAGCUGGAUCUGAGUGUCAGUCCUAUUUAGAUGCUCUGAGGUGAUUUUAUUUGCAUUCAGGGUAGAAAUUGCUGUUCUAAAUAUUUUUUAAACGGUUCAUUUGAAAUGUACUUUUACCAUCACGUUCCAUCACAAAAGACUGGAUACAGUUCCUGUGCUGUAGAGUGUGAUAGAGCAUGAUGGAAGGUAAUAUGAGACAAAGGAUAUUUAUAUAUGGCUGGGUCACUUUGCUGUUCAGCAGAAAUUGACACAACAUUGUAAGUCACCUCUACUUUAAAAAAAAAA